UGGAGUAUUAGAGUUAGGGAGAUAAACACAUUGAGCUAUCAAACCCCCUCUUGAGGGAUAAAACCACACAGACUCUGAAACGAAAGGAAAAUACCACUUAAUGACAUUUUCAACCAUUUUUAGCAGCAAUUAGAGGAGAGCCAUUAUUGAUUUCUGCGACAUCUCCACAGGUUUGGAUGGAUAGGGAUCCUCUGCCUCUGUCGAUGUUUAAAUGGAACUUGUGACCCUUGAAUAUCUCCAAUCCUGCACAGGUUUGGAUGGAUAGGGAGCGCUCCUCUUCCUCUAUCGAUGUAUCAACUCCUGCACGUGGGGUUUGUCCAGAUAGGGUUGCUCUCAUAUGCCUAGGGCUUCUCUCUUCUUGUUGUCUCCACUCUUGCAUGCAAGGUUUGGCCGUAAAGGGUUACUCUCAUGCACAUAGGGCUUCUCUCGGGUUUCUAUUGUGAAUGGGUGCGAAUGAAUUAGCUUAUAUAUAUAUAAAUUAACCUUUUCAAAAUUGGUACGGAUAAGGGGAAUCCAACUGUUUAAUUAAAACAAAGCAUUGUGAUGGUCCCUGUAGAUGCUGACACAAUGUGAUUUAUGCCCAGUUCUCUACAUGUCAAAGUGAAGAAAUUCAACUAAGCGUGGGUAAACGAUGGGAGUAACUAUGAAUCUAUUAAUGUAGCUAUAUGCCUCAUCAUAUAAUUAGUGAUGUACAUGAAUGGAUUAAUGAGAUUCCCACUAUCCCUAGCUACUAUCUAGAGAAACCACAACCAAGGGAACAUGCUUGGUAGAAUUAGCGGGGAAAUAAAACCUUGUUGAGCUUGACUCUAGUCCGACUUUGUGAAAUGACUUGUGAGUUGUAGAAUAAGUGGGAGUCGUUUUCAGCACAAGUGAAAUACCACUACUUUUAACGUUGUUUUACUUAUUCUGUGGGGAGGAGACGAGGCAUUGAAGAUAUGUUAAAAGAUAACACACAUUUCCUCAAAGUGUUGUCAUUGAUGGAAAUGGUUGAGAUCUCCUUCUUCACACACUUGAUGGCAAUGAGUUUAGGAAACCAAAGAGUAUCAUUGAUUUUAAGGAUGAAGAACGUUCCUACAAUCCCUA
rnacentral:ncRNA from 1 species